ensembl:miRNA gga-mir-1778 gga-mir-1778
GUUGGAGGGAAGAGAAAUGGUCUGCUGGAGGACUGUUUAUUUAAAUUGGCAGAUCAUUAUACUUCCCUCGAGC